GAGUGGUCUAACCGUUCUAACGUGCACAUAAAAAGUUUUUAUCGUCAAAAAUAAAGUAACACAUUAUUUUCAAAACUUAAUAAUACAAAUAGAUCAUUGUGUAUUAACAUAUAAAUAUGAAACUGUUGUCCGUUUUGUUGCUCGUGGUGGCGCUAUUCUCUGCGCUGGCGCAUGCCGUGCCCAUCAUACCGUUCAAGCCCGCAGAAUGCCCGUACGGGUACAAAUAUGAUUCCAACGGGAAUUGCUAUUGUCACAGACCCAACGUUUGCGGCGGAUCCAAAUGAGAAGCAACGCAGACAGAAUAUAAAGUCAUAUUAAUUAAUAAACUUGUUUGAUA